AGCAUUCGGUUAAUACCCGAGUGUUCUGCCGGUACCGGAAGAAUAAGCACCGGCUAACUUCGUGCCAGCAGCCGCGGUAAUACGAAGGGUGCAAGCGUUACUCGGAAUUACUGGGCGUAAAGCGUGCGUAGGUGGUUUGUUAAGUCUGAUGUGAAAGCCCUGGGCUCAACCUGGGAAUGGCACUGGAUACUAGCAAGCUAGAGUGCGGUAGAGGAUAGUGGAAUUCCUGGUGUAGCAGUGAAAUGCGUAGAGAUCAGGAGGAACAUCCGUGGCGAAGGCGACUGUCUGGACCAGCACUGACACUGAGGCACGAAAGCGUGGGGAGCAAACAGG
rnacentral:rRNA from 1 species